AACUGAAGAGUUUGAUCAUGGCUCAGAUUGAACGCUGGCGGCAGGCUUAACACAUGCAAGUCGAGCGGGGGAAGGUAGCUUGCUACUGGACCUAGCGGCGGACGGGUGAGUAAUGCUUAGGAAUCUGCCUAUUAGUGGGGGACAACAUCUCGAAAGGGAUGCUAAUACCGCAUACGUCCUACGGGAGAAAGCAGGGGAUCUUCGGACCUUGCGCUAAUAGAUGAGCCUAAGUCGGAUUAGCUAGUUGGU
rnacentral:rRNA from 1 species